rnacentral:rRNA from 1 species
CUGUAAGCCUGUGAAGGUGUGCUGUGAGGCAUGCUGGAGGUAUCAGAAGUGCGAAUGCUGACAUAAGUAACGAUAAAGCGGGUGAAAAGCCCGCUCGCCGGAAGACCAAGGGUUCCUGUCCAACGUUAAUCGGGGCAGGGUGAGUCGACCCCUAAGGCGAGGCCGAAAGGCGUAGUCGAUGGGAAACAGGUUAAUAUUCCUGUACUUGGUGUUACUGCGAAGGGGGGACGGAGAAGGCUAUGUUGGCCGGGCGACGGUUGUCCCGGUUUAAGCGUGUAGGCUGGUUUUCCAGGCAAAUCCGGAAAAUCAAGGCUGAGGCGUGAUGACGAGGCACUACGGUGCUGAAGCAACAAAUGCCCUGCUUCCAGGAAAAGCCUCUAAGCAUCAGGUAACAUCAAAUCGUACCCCAAACCGACACAGGUGGUCAGGUAGAGAAUACCAAGGCGCUUGAGAGAACUCGGGUGAAGGAACUAGGCAAAAUGGUGCCGUAACUUCGGGAGAAGGCACGCUGAUAUGUAGGUGAAGUCCCUCGCGGAUGGAGCUGAAAUCAGUCGAAGAUACCAGCUGGCUGCAACUGUUUAUUAAAAACACAGCACUGUGCAAACACGAAAGUGGACGUAUACGGUGUGACGCCUGCCCGGUGCCGGAAGGUUAAUUGAUGGGGUCAGCGCAAGCGAAGCUCUUGAUCGAAGCCCCGGUAAACGGCGGCCGUAACUAUAACGGUCCUAAGGUAGCGAAAUUCCUUGUCGGGUAAGUUCCGACCUGCACGAAUGGCGUAAUGAUGGCCAGGCUGUCUCCACCCGAGACUCAGUGAAAUUGAACUCGCUGUGAAGAUGCAGUGUACCCGCGGCAAGACGGAAAGACCCCGUGAACCUUUACUAUAGCUUGACACUGAACAUUGAGCCUUGAUGUGUAGGAUAGGUGGGAGGCUUGGAAGUGUGGACGCCAGUCUGCAUGGAGCCGACCUUGAAAUACCACCCUUUAAUGUUUGAUGUUCUAACGUUGACCCGUAAUCCGGGUUGCGGACAGUGUCUGGUGGGUAGUUUGACUGGGGCGGUCUCCUCCUAAAGAGUAACGGAGGAGCACGAAGGUUGGCUAAUCCUGGUCGGACAUCAGGAAGUUAGUGCAAUGGCAUAAGCCAGCUUGACUGCGAGCGUGACGGCGCGAGCAGGUGCGAAAGCAGGUCAUAGUGAUCCGGUGGUUCUGAAUGGAAGGGCCAUCGCUCAACGGAUAAAAGGUACUCCGGGGAUAACAGGCUGAUACCGCCCAAGAGUUCAUAUCGACGGCGGUGUUUGGCACCUCGAUGUCGGCUCAUCACAUCCUGGGGCUGAAGUAGGUCCCAAGGGUAUGGCUGUUCGCCAUUUAAAGUGGUACGCGAGCUGGGUUUAGAACGUCGUGAGACAGUUCGGUCCCUAUCUGCCGUGGGCGCUGGAGAACUGAGGGGGGCUGCUCCUAGUACGAGAGGACCGGAGUGGACGCAUCACUGGUGUUCGGGUUGUCAUGCCAAUGGCACUGCCCGGUAGCUAAAUGCGGAAGAGAUAAGUGCUGAAAGCAUCUAAGCACGAAACUUGCCCCGAGAUGAGUUCUCCCUGACUCCUUGAGAGUCCUGAAGGAACGUUGAAGACGACGACGUUGAUAGGCCGGGUGUGUAAGCGCAGCGAUGCGUUGAGCUAACCGGUACUAAUGAACCGUGAGG